CUGCUGAACCUUGAGCUUUAUUUACUUUAGACAUUAAGCAGCACUUCCUUGAGUCUCCAUUUCCAGAGGGUGCAGCUUGUAUUUAGAAAAGCUUUUGCUUUUUGAUUCAUUCGGAGUUCGUUUUUUUAAACCUCAUAAUUCUACAUUAUUUUGCUUGAAAGCUGACAGAUGACUUCAGUUUAUGGCUACUGUAAAAGGAAACGCACUCCAAAGAGCACUGGUGAGCAAGUCAUACAUUGCGAGAAUUCCAGUCUCACACAGUGUAUUCUCAGCAAGGAGAUGACAAGUAUUGUGUACUUGAUCUUUAAACAAACAGAAACAGUGAAUAUCCUAAUCCAGAUAGAGCUCUCUCUCUCUCUGUCGGAAGAAGAAAUCGAGAGGACUUCCUUUUCAGAUUAGUGACAAUAUCUGCACAUGGAGUUUCCAUUCAGUAAUCUGGAAGUUGCGUUCAUAUUGAUAGCGUUUACUGUUUUCUCCAUAUUUUCUCUGGCUUCAAUCUACAGUGAACCUGAGCAAGCCAAAACAGAAGACCAUCAUAGUAUACCUAAAGACAGCAUCAGUGGGACCAGAUCCAAGAAGAAACAUAGAAACAGCUCAGCCAGUGUUGGCAUUGUUGAAGCCACUGAGGUUUGUGAAAUAUCACAGAAAGAGAUCAGUUUCCCCAAUGCCUGCUGCUCAGAGCUGAUAUGAGAACUGGUCAGCUGGAGUCAGACACAUGAACGAUGAGCUGAAGUAGAUGCUUCCCCUUGAUCAGCAAACAACUCAUGGAGACAAGAAAAUAAUAGGGGUUGACAGACAGUUGCAUCCCAGACAAGUGUCUUUGGCACCUUUUCAUUCCUGGGCCUCUUAACCUUCUAAUGAAGCACCGCCUGGUUUCUACCAAUAAAAGGAAGCCGGUGGUCAAUCCGUGUCAUGAUUUACAGGAAUUUUACUUAUGAAUUUACAACAAUAUUUUUUACAUGCUCUGAAUUGUGUAAUCCACAAUGUUUGAGAAAACAUUUUUUUUCAUAUCAAGCAAUCAGAACAUUGGAAUAUUGCACCAAAGGACUGUUGUUCCAAGGAAAUCAUCUCUGAAAAGAACUUACCAGAUCUACUGCAGAAAACAGAAACAUCAUCUCUACAUGAUAGCUAGGUGUAAAAUUAUAGAGCAAUAGUGACAACUCAAAAGAUGUACUUAUGCAUCAGUACAUAGAGUAUACCUCAGAUAGAGCCAGGAAUAUUACAUUAUCCAAUGGGCCAUGUAUCCUCAUCCAGUUAGCCAAGAGGCCAUUAGCCCCAACCAAUAUUUUUGUAUGGAUGGCAAAAAUAAUUACUUAAGAUCUAAAUUAAGCAGUGGUUAUUGUAGACAGGAAUGUAGACUUAUGUAGAAAAUGUAAGUAAAUAAUAAUUUAUAUAUGCUGG